AGAAGCUUACAUAUGCAAUGGUCAUGGCUAAUUGGCAAUUAUGGUUCAUUAGGGAUCAUUUCCACAACAUAGGGCCAUUUCAACAGUUGGGAUCUAAAAUCAUGCGUGUAAGCCUAGUGGAUCACCAUAAUCAAUAAUAUACCAAGCUAAGCAAAAUGAUCUUAACCACCAUCUUGCCCAUAAACCAUUAGACAAUCAAAAUGCUAUUUCACAUUUAAAAACACAAAUUCAUAUCUUUUUUCUACUUAUUUUAGACUAUUUUAGAUAGACUAUAUUUAUGCGCAUGAGCUCUUGUGAUAUAUUUUGGUACCAUUCUUAAAUGAUUACUCAAUUCAUUCAUGCAUGUGUUCUUUUGUAAAUGAGUAAAUUUCACCUGUUGUCAAUAGUCAAUAUUUAGUUAUUAAAUCUCAUUGGAGCACUAAAAUUUCAAUAUGUG
rnacentral:misc_RNA from 1 species